rnacentral:rRNA from 1 species
AAAGGGGAGCAAUCCCUGAGUACAGUGGCGUACGGGUGAGUAACACGUGGAUCAUCUACCUUCUAGUGGGGAAUACCCCUGGGAAACCGGGGACAAUACCGCAUGAGCUCGUGAGAGGAAAGCCGAAAGGCGCUGGAAGAGGAGUCCGCGGCUGAUUAGCUAGUUGGCGGGGUAAUGGCCCACCAAGGCGAAGAUCGGUAGCCGGCCUGAGAGGGCACACGGCCACACUGGCACUGAAACACGGGCCAGACUCCUACGGGAGGCAGCAGUGGGGAAUCUUGCACAAUGGAGGAAACUCUGAUGCAGCGACGCCGCGUGAGCGAUGAAGCCCUUCGGGGUGUAAAGCUCUUUCGACGGGAACGAUAAUGACGGUACCCGAAGAAGAAGCUGCGGCUAACUACGUGCCAGCAGCCGCGGUAAUACGUAGGCAGCAAGCGUUGUUCGGAAUUACUGGGCGUAAAGAGUGCGUAGGCGGUGCUCUAAGUUUGGUGUGAAAUCUCCCGGCUCAACUGGGAGGGUGCGCCGAAAACUGGAGUGCUCGAGUGUGGGAGAGGUAAGCGGAAUUCCUGGUGUAGCGGUGAAAUGCGUAGAUAUCAGGAGGAACACCUGUGGUGUAGACAGCUUACUGGACCACGACUGACGCUGAGGCACGAAAGCGUGGGUAGCAAACAGGAUUAGAUACCCUGGUAGUCCACGCCCUAAACGAUGCAUACUUGGUGUGAGCCAUUCAUUUGGUUCGUGCCGGAGCUAACGCGUUAAGUAUGCCGCCUGGGGAGUACGGUCGCAAGGCUGAAACUC